GGAGGUGUAUGAGCACCUGGUGGGCUCCGCCGCCUUCAAAGCGGCUGGGACGGGUAAACCCUGUCCGGCGGGUUCGAUUCCCGUCCACCUCCGCCA
rnacentral:tRNA from 1 species